AGGAGCAGCAUGCAGUCGUACAGCUCAACCGAGUUUACGGUAACCGGGAGAAGGUUACGGCGAACAUUACUGUUGACUGUGUGUGUGUGUGUCUCUGUGUGUGUGUUGUGUGGAAGACAUAAAAGGCUUUGUGAGGCUGAAUAGGAAGACUUCUGCGUAGAGAAGGACUGAAGAAGGAAUGAGAACACUUUAUUAGAACCAAGGACACAUGCAACAAAUACACAGCAUUACGCAAGACCUAUGUGUCCCCCCCCAAGAGGAAUCGAAACGCAAGUGUACCUGGCCAGCUACCAGGGCGAAGAUGAUGGAACACAACAAUAGCAGAGUCUGGCUUGGAGAGCUGGACCAUGUAUCUAAAUCCGUUUUCUAACAGGGUCUGACAGCUGUUGGGAAGAAUUUAAAACCUAGGCCUAUUCAUGUGUCUACAUUUCUCACACGAUUUCUUUAUAUUAUGCAAUUGUUUUUCUUUCCACAGACCACUGAGGAGGUUACCGGAAUCCAGAAUCAGGAAUAAAGUAAUGUGUAUGAUGAAGUUAAAUAUGGUAGAAUGGGUUCAAUAAUAACUGAAAGAGAUAUUUUUGGGACGCCUAACGUCAAACAAGUAAAACGUUGAUAUUUUACCUGCUUGCAGUAAAGACCAAUCCAUCGUAAGAGAAGGAAGUGAAAUGUAAGGCUACUGAUUAGAUCCUAGAGGAACACGAUAGGAUUGAGAAGGCUCAGUGAGCUGGACCUCGAGGGGCAAUCCGUUUGCUGACUUGCUAUCGUAUUAUUAAAUUAAAAGUAUCUUUAUUUUGAUAGAAAUCUGGCACUUUAUUUGAAUAAGUGUUAUUUUGUGCUUUUCAAAAAAGUAAUAUAUAUUGUCUGCUGCCCAGGUUUCCAGACUGACAAGUAUUUGCUCAUGCGCUCAUGAUGUGAUAAAAAUUUUAUAAUAUUUUCUUGUGUAGUAUGUCUGUGGAGAACACAAUAAUCUACUUGGGUAAAAACAUUCACGAGGUCUCUCUACUUUUGCUCCAGACAAUUUGUGUGCAUUUUGACAGAAUGUUGGGGAAUUACUAAAUGGGAAUCUUGACCCACUGAGGACUUCUGAAUAGUCCUCCCAUGAAGCCGCUUAAUGAAUUAAUCUGUAGUUUAUUAUAUUUCAGUUUUCUAUGAUGUAAUACCAAGUGCAUUAUUGGGAUUCAACCUUAAAAUAAAAAUGCAGUAAACACAGAUUGUUUUGUAAGUCCCCGAAAUCUUGGUUUGUUGCAAGCCGUGGUGUAAACCUAGGGCAACUUAGAGGAGGCAUUGAGCAUUUACCCAGACACUCUUCAAUGCUACAAAAAAAAAUCAUUUUAGCCUUGUUUGUUGUAUUAUCCAGAUGGAAAAGGGAACAACAGAAAAUCUAAAAACGUGUCAAGGUGAAAUCACUCUAACUCAUCGUUGGGCAAUGUCAGCGUGGGCAGCUCUCUCAAUCAGAGAAUGACAGGAAGAGCUACAGCGAGGCUUUCAUCACAAGGCCUUUAAACUCACCCUCAUGCAAGCACAACAUAUAACGUUGUGGAAUAACAAAAAUCACAGUGAAUGCACUCAAUUGCUGAAGCCCAAACUAUUCUGAUUACCCUCAAAGGUCUGGAGCCUGCUGGUUUUUCUCCUCUUCCUCAUCUUUGAUGUCACCCACUUGGUGUCUCAGGCCUAAAUAAGUCCCUGAUUCGAGGGUUGAAAUUAAAAAAACUGGAGUGGACCUGUCCUCAAGGUGCCGAGUUCAGUUUGAUAGUUAAAUACAUUUGUCGUGGAGGAAACACAGAGGAAUGAGAGAGAUCUGUGAGCUAUACUUGGUUCUCUCAGGGUUGUUAGCAGGUGGUUGUUCUCUCUUUGAUGAUACAGUACUGUGCAAAAGUCUUAGGCACCUGAAAUUCAAACUUAAGACAUUCAUUU
ensembl:lncRNA